rnacentral:lncRNA from 10 species
GGGUAUUCAAAUUUUUCUAAUUAGAAGCUCUAGGAUAUAAAACUCCAAUUUUUCCAAAUUGAGAUAUAACAUGAUUAUUCAAAAAAAGAUAUGUCUUAAAGCAAUACAUUUUAAGGUUGUCACUCUUUUGCAAACUUAAAUUGGCACUAUGUUUAUUUUAAUAUUAUUCAUUAGUUUAUAUUCUUACAUAAAUUUAAGCUUUUUCUUUCACAUAGUAUUAGUAUUUGAUAGUUUAUAGUAAUUAUUCCACGUCAUGGACUGAGUAGUGUCCUCCAAAUUCUUAUGUAGAAGCCCUAAACCCAGUAACUCAGAAUGUGAUGGUAUUUGGCGAUAGGGUCUUUAAACAGGUCAUUAAUGUGAAAUGAGGUCAUAUGGGUGGGCCCUAAUCCAAAGUGACUGGUGUCCCUAUAGGGUGUGGAGAUUAGACCAUAGACACACACAGAGGGAACACCAGGAGAGCACAUGGGGAGAAGAUGGCCCUCUACCAGCAAAGAAGAGAAGCCUCAGAAGAAACCAGUCCUGAAGAUACCUUGGUUUUGUACUUCUUGGCUCCAAGAUAGUGGUUAAGUCUCUCUGUCUCUUGUACUUUGUCAUGGCUGCUCUGGGAAAUGAACAGAAUGUUGGCCAUCAUUUCUCAAAUUAUCCCUCAGGACCAAAAGUCCGUAAAAUGUUUUCAAGUUUUCUCAGGUUUGAAUAUAUGUGAUAUAUCUCAUUUAUUUUGGGAAAGAUACAGUUUGUAAUGACAUCAAUGGAUGGUCAUUUUAGAUGUUCAUGUAGGACUCGUAACACAAUGGGUUAAAAAGAGAACAAAGACACUUAAUCUAGAUUUAUUUAUUUUUAUUCCUGAUAUGACAUAGCUCUUGAAAAAUUUUAAAGAUUGUUUAAACAGUUAGAACGGUAAGUGGUGAUAUUGUGUACACACCUACUCUCCUAAUGGGUAUUGUGUCUGGAUGUUAAAAUAUCCAGUGACAACAUCAGUCACAAAUUGAAAAGUGCUGUAAGUGAAACAAGUUAGAUGAAACAGAAGAAAAUGUACUCUUGGAAAAAAUGUGUUAGAUUACUCACUCUGAUGCCAUAGAUACGUGUGAAUAGCUGAAUAAAGUUAUUUUACAUAAGAGUGGACAUAUGCUAUAUAUCUAAAUUAAUAUGCCAUUUAUGUAAUAUGUUAAUUAAAUAUCUGUAACAAAGUGAAUGAAUCUUAAAAUUAGACAUUUACAUAUUUGGUUUACAUCCUUAGAAUUUAGAUACCCAGGUUCAUGAAAAACUUUCCCUGUGUUAAGGAAUAUAUGCUUUAUUCAUUUAAAAUAGGCUAGUAGGAGAUCGUGUGUGUGUGUGUGUGUGUGUAUGUGUGUGUGUCUGAUGCAUCUAUUCUGCUUUUGUAAUCAGAAAAAUUUUCCUGGUUAUUUUUCAUAAAUAAAUUGAGGAAAUGUUUCACCAUAAGAUUAAAAAAAGAGGGAUGUGCUGACUGCUGGAAACAGUGUAACUUGUGUUCUCUUAAGUCCUUGCCUCCCUGUCAUGCCAAUGAGCCUUUGCAAUGGCAAUAAGCGAUUCUAGAUGUUCUCCUUGUGCUGAAGUCCAGACAGUAAGUGACUCCCGCUUCUGCCCCUGCCUGUUCGUGCAGCACGUGCCAGUGGAGCACGGAGGUGGGAGGAAGAGUGCAUGAGGGUGUCCAUCAUUUUUUCAAUCUAUCUGCCUUACUCUCCAAACUUUUCCCUUUCCACAUGGACUUUGGAAUCCUCUGGCUCAGGGGAGGGAAGCCAUGGCCCUGCCCCUCCCCGUGCCUCUUCCUAACCAUCUGGGAUAAGAGAUCGCACAGUCUCUCUGCUGAGGGAGAGAAAAGAUGAACAGUCACAGAUGAAGCCAAAUAAUCUGACCCUCUGAAGUGGGACUUACGUCCUAGGUGUCUUGGACCAAAAUGGACCAAGAAGAAAUAGUAACCCUCCUAGACAAAAUUAGUAAUCGAAGGCCUCUGACAACUUAUCAUUUUUUUUCUGGUGAGAUUUUGGAGAGGGAGUAGCUGACUGCUGUUCAUAUCACUCCAGCAUCGUGCAGCAGCAGUGAAAGUCAAGAGGCAUCACUGCCUAUACCAGAGAGAUCCAAGAGGUCCUGAUGCCCUGAGAGGGGUAGUGGAGUGGCUUGGGCCUCCAGGGGGUAGAUUAGACUCCAUGGACCAAUGCACAGCAAAUGGUGGGACGUAAUUCUCCUCCAGCUCCCUGCUCUUUUUUGCUUUCUUAGAAUCAGCUUCCAAGCGUGCAGAUGCUAAUGAAAACUUUGCCUCUGGUUGGGAAGUCUGGGCCGAUGAUGAGCGGAGGACAUUUUCUCCAAUGAUGCUUAUGCUCACCGUGUGCAGUGAACAAGCCUCUCUGUCGGGUUUAGAACUGAAACCACCUCUGGCUCGAGCUAAAGAACUUGGU